GACGAACGCUGGCGGCGUGCUUAACACAUGCAAGUCGAACGGAACGGCCUGCUUUCCCUUGUGGAUUGCGGGUACUCGGGUGGCGAACGGGUGAGUAACACGUGAGUGAUCUGCCCCCAACUUGGGUAUAAGCCUGGGAAACUGGGUCUAAUUCCCGAUAGGACUGCAGGGUGGUGCCUGUGGUGGAAAACGAUUUUCUAGUGGUUGGGGAUGAGCUCGCGGCCUAUCAGCUUGUUGGUGGGGUAAUGGCCUACCAAGGCGGCGACGGGUAGCCGGGGUGAGAGGGUGGACGGCGACAUUGUGGCUGAGAUACAGCCCAGAGACCGACGGGAGGCAGCAGUGGGGAAUAUAGCACAAAGGGCGGAAGACUGAUGCAGCGACGCGGCGUGGGAGAUGACGGCCGGCGGGGUGUAAACUCCUUUCGAGCGCGAGAAAGCCACCUGGUUGGAAGGGUGGUGACGGUAGUGGUAGAAGAAGCACCGGCUAACUACGUG
rnacentral:rRNA from 1 species